GACGAACGCUGGCGGCGUGCUUAACACAUGCAAGUCGAGCGGUAAGGCCCUUUCGGGGGUACACGAGCGGCGAACGGGUGAGUAACACGUGGGUGACCUGCCCUUAGCUCUGGGAUAAGCCUGGGAAACUGGGUCUAAUACCGGAUAUGACUCCAUGACGCAUGUUGUGGGGUGGAAAGCCUUGUGCGGCUAGGGAUGGGCCCGCGGCCUAUCAGCUUGUUGGUGGGGUGAUGGCCUACCAGGCGACGACGGGUAGCCGGCCUGAGAGGGCGACCGGCCACACUGGGACUGAGACACGGCCCAGACUCCUACGGGAGGCAGCAGUGGGGAAUCUUGCGCAAUGGGCGAAAGCCUGACGCAGCGACGCCGCGUGAGGGAUGACGGCCUGGUU
rnacentral:rRNA from 1 species